CUUCUCAAAUAUGCUGUGCUGUUCAGUAUCAGGAAACUCUGUGUGUGUAUAUGUGUAGGACUUCUGAGAGCCAGAGGCUGGCUGCAGUGAAGAUUUAUACACCACAGGAAGGGUUAACCUCAUCUCAUGGCCACUAUUGUCUCAGGACAACUUGUCAGUCCGAGAGAACAUCCUGUAAUGGAUUUGAAGUGGAUUGCUCAGCCCAUCGCAAGAUCUGACUGGAGAAUUUUGUGCCAGCACUGCCGCAGAGACUGAAAAGGCUCCAAACUUUUCAUUUACACCAGUGACCAUGUUUCAAUCAGCCUUGUAAAGGGGGAGCCUGUGAAGGUGGGUUCUGGUUGUGUUACUUUCCUGAGUGGAAUCCAAUCAUAUGAGAACUGAACUCUCACAUCCUGUCAGUCUGACCCUUUAAAGUGGAUCAUUAUUAAAUUGGUCUUGUAUGACCCCCAUUCUC